GAUUAACGCUGGCGGCAUGCCUAAUACAUGCAAGUCGAUCGGAUGUAGCAAUACAUUAGAGGCGAACGGGUGAGUAACACGUAUCCAAUCUGCCUUAUAGUGGGGGAUAACUAGUCGAAAGAUUAGCUAAUACCGCAUAACAAGUUAACUAUCGCAUGAGAAUAACUUUAAAGAAGCAACUGCUUCGCUAUAAGAUGAGGGUGCGGCAUAUCAGCUAGUUGGUGAGGGUAAUGGCCCACCAAGGCGAUGACGUGUAGUUAUGCUGAGAGGUAGAAUAACCACAAUGGGACUGAGACACGGCCCAUACUCCUACGGGAGGCAGCAGUAGGGAAUUUUUCACAAUGGACGAAAGUCUGAUGGAGCAAUGCCGCGUUAACGUUGAAGGUCUUUUUAGAUUGUAAAGUUCUUUUAUUUGGGAAGAACAGUUAGUAGAGUGGAAAGCUAUUAAUUUGACUGUACCAUUUGAAUAAGUAACGACUAACUAUGUGCCAGCAGUCGCGGUAAUACAUAGGUUGCAAGCGUUAUCCGGAUUUAUUGGGCGUAAAACAAGCGCAGGCGGAUUAGAAAGUCUGGUGUUAAAAGCAAUUGCUUAACGAUUGUAUGCAUUGGAAACUUCUAGUCUAGAGUUUGGUAGAGAGUCCUGGAACUCCAUGUGGAGCGGUGAAAUGCGUAGAUAUAUGGAAGAACACCAGAGGCGAAGGCGAGGACUUGGGCCAAUACUGACGCUUAGGCUUGAAAGUGUGGGGAGCAAAUAGGAUUAGAUACCCUAGUAGUCCACACUGUAAACGAUGGAUGUUAAGUGUCGGAGCGAAUACUUCGGUGCUGCAGUUAACACAUUAAACAUCCUGCCUGAGUAGUACAUUCGCAAGAAUGAAACUCAAACGGAAUUGACGGGGACCCGCACAAGUGGUGGAGCAUGUUGCUUAAUUCGACGGUACACGAAAAACCUUACCUAGACUUGACAUCUUGGGCGAAGCUAUAGAAAUAUAGUGGAGGUCAACCCAAUGACAGGUGGUGCAUGGUUGUCGUCAGCUCGUGUCGUGAGAUGUUGGGUUAAGUCCCGCAACGAGCGCAACCCUUAUCGUUAGUUACUUUGUCUAACGAGACUGCCAACGUAAGUUGGAG
rnacentral:rRNA from 1 species